GAGUAAGCAAAGCAUAACACUGCCCCCAAGGUCACACGCCCAAGCCUCGCUCAGGUUAGUGCAGUCCUCACUGAGGGCUCAGCGUGACAACUACCCUGCACUUGAGUAGGCCUCUUCAUGAGGCCGGAUGGAGCCCGGAUUGGAAAGCCGUAACUGGAGGGAAGACGGUGCCCGAUCCUUGCUUCAGUGUCUCUCCUGGUGUCACGUGACCAGCUGCCAGCCGCCUCUGCCGCCGUGACUUCCCACCGUGCCGGGCUGUACCCUCGGAACUGUGAGCCAAAGUAACCCUCCUCCCUUAAGUUGUCUUUGCCACAGUUCAAACACGCAACUGUUCACAGCUGUGAGAAAAGUAACACGAACGAACGGGGAAAGAGAAUAAAUGGCGUAUGUGCAGGGGUGUGUGAGAGAGAGUGUGUGCACCAAGGAUGGCUUCUGGUGCAAACGCAGGGAUCAGUAGCAUGUGGGAUCCCUCUCACUCAGCCCCACCUCACCUGCUGUCAGGCACAGCCACCCACAGCCUCCCUCCUCAUCUUGGAAUGUCACUUGUUCACCUGCGUGGAAAUGACAGCCGCUUGUCAUACUCCACAUGAGAGGGCCCCCUCACUGAGGUAACUAGCAAGCCGCUUCUAAAGCUGUCAUUCUCCGGUGUCAGUGCAACCCGCUGUUCAAAGAUCUUUUCUGACAAGAGCCAGGCAGUGCCGUGACUGUUACCGCCGUUGGACUCUUCCAUGCCGCGACACCAAUGGCAGCCGCUCGACACCCAGGGUUUGUUCCACCCAAUUAUUUGUUUGUCGUUCGGAAACCCGGGACGUUGAGCAGGUAUCAGGUUAUGAAGACUGGUUGAACUCAGGUUCUCAUGCCUGCAUGGCAAGCACCCUACUAAUCACGAUCCCAGCCCUUGCCCACUGACAUCAUUUGUUUAAUAGCUGAUAAAUCGGACUGCAGAGGACCCCAUGUCAAACAUUCUCUCUGGAUGAACUUUAUGGAUGACGAAGCCUAAGACAUCGGCUCAAGCUGCCCAGCAAGAGUAGGGCUCUCAGGGCCAGGAGAUUUCCUCUGGGAAACCCUUUCCCCUGCUCCAGGCAGAUAAUGAGAAAAUGAUGUCAUCAGGGCUAAAAUUAGGUUUUAGUGUUACUCUGUUGAGAGAUGUGAAAGGUGACAGAUAAGAGGGCGAAAAUGUUUUCCAAGUGGCUUUUAAAGGCGGCCAAAUAUAACCGCUUCCCACAUCAGUCUAUUAAGGGGAGCACUUGAGACAUCUCCCUCUUCAAAAAAGGACUCUCAGAAAAAAGCAAUAGUGUGCUCCCAACCGCCUCCUUUGUAAGAGUGGUCUUAUGAGGGCCAGGCAAGCAGGUCUGCAGCGUGUGCAUGGACAGAAUGCUACCACCUCCUCCUGCUUGGCAAAGAACUGGUUGUCGAACUUAGUGCUUGUAUCUUCUGCUGCUAUGGAAAUGCCCCUGUUGGAAAAUACUAGCUCAUUACUAAUAAAACUGGGCUGGAAAGUAGACCAGGGCACAAGAGGCAAAGGAAUGCUCGGGAGCCAAGGAUAUGAAGAUGCUAGGUCACUGUGCUGGCUGAGUUUUAACUGUCAGCUCACCACAGCCAAGAAGGGAGUCUUGACGGGGGGGCUUGCCUAGACCAGGUUGGCCUGUGGCUAUGUCUGAAGGGGACUGUCUUGCUUGCUAAUAUGUCUCGGCCCACCGCGGGUGGCAUCACUCCCUGGGCAAGGGGAUCCUGGGCUCUAUAACAGUGGAGGAGGCUGGCUGCGAGCAAGCAGGCAGCAUGGGGGCAUUUGUUUCUUCUCUUUGUUCUAGAUUGUGGAUAUGGUGCGGACAGUUGCCUCUAUGGUUUUCUUACAGUGAUGGACUGUAAACUGGAAUUGCAAGUCUAAUAAAUCCCCUCCCCAGGUAUUUUUAAUCAAAGACAUAGAAAUGAAACCAGGACAGUGGUUUAGAAAGUGAGGCCAGGUGUUAAUGAUGAUAGCCGGUGCUAUAGGGGAUAUAAUAUAUUUAUUUACCAGAGAGAGAGAGGAUCACACAAGCUGGAAGUUAGAAGCGUGGCUGGCUUCCAAAAGAGGAGGUCCUUUUUCCUUUUGCUUCCUUUUAUCUCUACCUGUGCUAAUUUAAUUGUCCCGGCCCUCAUGGGCGGAUAGCUUUGUGGGGCUCACUCCUACAAGGUGUGGUGGGGCUUCCCUGUAAUCACAACACUUGGGAGACUGAGGCAGGAGGAUCAGUGGUUCAAGACCAACCUUUGCUAAAUUGUGUGUUCAAGGGCAGCCUGGGCUAUAAGAGACCCUGUCUCAAUCCAUCUUCCUAAGAGUGAGGCGGUUGGUUGGAGAUGUCUCAGGUUGAACCCUGAAACAAUAGCUUGAAGAUGAUUAUCAGGGUCACCCUUGAUCAAAUACUAAUUCGUCAUCUAGGGAUGCAGAGAAAUCUCAAGAGCAUCUCCAUCAGGUUCAAGUGUCUAGUAACCCCAGGGAACGUCAAACAUCUUGGAAAAGGGUGGAUGGAGAACAAAAUGGAUAACGUAUCCUGGAUGUGGUCCUGACCAAUGUCCUCCCAGAUUACCCGGCUUUCCCUGGGUUUUCAGUACCGGUCAUCCUGUUCUGCACCCCCUUAAGAGAAGACACCCACCUUUCCUCUUUGAUUCUCUGCCACAACCCAAGUCCGGGAAGCAUAUGCCUUGCAGCCAGGUGGACCCAUGUCUUAACAGCUCUGUCAUUUCGAGUGAGUCGCUUUGCUUUUCUGAAUCUCAAGAGUCCUCGUCUGACAAAUGAGUGACUUUUGCAGCUUACAAUGUUAAUGACAAAAAGCAACUCCUCAGGGAUCAGCAAGCAAAGGCACUUGCUACCAAGCACGAUGACCUGAGUUCGAAGGACUAACUCCCUCAAGUUGCCCUCUGACCACCACAAACACACCAUGGCAUACAAGCGCACAAAACAAAAUCUAGCAAUAAAAAAAGUAAGCCCUUAA